UAUACGAUGUGGAGGUCGGCUAUCACCAA
rnacentral:sRNA from 1 species